rnacentral:rRNA from 2 species
GAGUUUGAUCCUGGCUCAGAUUGAACGCUGGCGGCAUGCUUUACACAUGCAAGUCGAACGGUAACAGGUCUUCGGAUGCUGACGAGUGGCGAACGGGUGAGUAAUACAUCGGAACGUGCCUAGUAGUGGGGGAUAACUACUCGAAAGAGUAGCUAAUACCGCAUGAGAUCUACGGAUGAAAGCAGGGGACCUUCGGGCCUUGUGCUACUAGAGCGGCUGAUGGCAGAUUAGGUAGUUGGUGGGGUAAAGGCUUACCAAGCCUGCGAUCUGUAGCUGGUCUGAGAGGACGACCAGCCACACUGGGACUGAGACACGGCCCAGACUCCUACGGGAGGCAGCAGUGGGGAAUUUUGGACAAUGGGCGAAAGCCUGAUCCAGCAAUGCCGCGUGCAGGAUGAAGGCCCUCGGGUUGUAAACUGCUUUUGUACGGAACGAAAAGUCUCUUUCUAAUAAAGAGGGAAUCAUGACGGUACCGUAAGAAUAAAGCACCGGCU